AUUGAACGCUGGCGGCAGGCUUAACACAUGCAAGUCGAGCGGAGAUGAGGUGCUUGCACCUUAUCUUAGCGGCGGACGGGUGAGUAAUGCUUAGGAAUCUGCCUAUUAGUGGGGGACAACAUUCCGAAAGGAAUGCUAAUACCGCAUACGUCCUACGGGAGAAAGCAGGGGAUCUUCGGACCUUGCGCUAAUAGAUGAGCCUAAGUCGGAGUAGCUAGUUGGUGGGGUAAAGGCCUACCAAGGCGACGAUCUGUAGCGGGUCUGAGAGGAUGAUCCGCCACACUGGGAGUGAGACACGGCCCAGACUCCUACGGGAGGCAGCAGUGGGGAAUAUUGGACAAUGGGGGAAACCCUGAUCCAGCCAUGCCGCGUGUGUGAAGAAGGCCUUAUGGUUGUAAAGCACUUUAAGCGAGGAGGAGGCUACUGAGACUAAUACUCUUGGAUAGUGGACGUUACUCGCAGAAUAAGCACCGGCUAACUCUGUGCCAGCAGCCGCAGUAAAAC
rnacentral:rRNA from 1 species